AGAGUUUGAUCCUGGCUCAGAAUGAACGCUGGCGGCGUGCUUAACACAUGCAAGCCGCACGAGAACGUUUCAGCUUGCUGAAACUAGUAAAGUGGCGCACGGGUGAGUAACGCGUGGGUAAUCUACCUCCGAAUUGGGGAUAACAUUGCGAAAGCGAUGCUAAUACCGAAUGACAUCUCAAUCACUCCGGUCUUUGAGAUCAAAGAUGGCCUCUCCAUGGAAGCUACUGUUUGGAGAUGAGCCCGCGUACCAUUAGCUUGUUGGUAGGGUAACGGCCUACCAAGGCGACGAUGGUUAGCUGGUCUGAGAGGAUGAUCAGCCACACUGGAACUGACACACGGUCCAGACUCCUACGGGAGGCAGCAGUGAGGAAUUUUGCGCAAUGGGGGAAACCCUGACGCAGCAACGCCGCGUGAGUGAUGAAGGCUCUCGGGUCGUAAAGCUCUGUCAAGUGAGAAGAACCUGCCCUUUGCUAAUAUCACUGGGCACUGACGGUAUCACUGAAGGAAGCACCGGCUAACUCCGUGCCAGCAGCCGCGGUAAUACGGAGGGUGCAAGCGUUAUUCGGAAUCACUGGGCGUAAAGAGCGCGUAGGCGGUUUCUAAAGUCAGAUGUGAAAGCCCGGGGCUCAACCCCGGAAGUGCAUUUGAAACUUAGGGACUUGAGUAUGGGAGAGGGAAGUGGAAUUCCUGGUGUAGCGGUGAAAUGCGUAGAUAUCAGGAGGAACAUCGGUGGCGAAGGCGACUUCCUGGACCAAUACUGACGCUGAGGCGCGAAGGCGUGGGGAGCAAACAGGAUUAGAUACCCUGGUAGUCCACGCAGUAAACGUUGAACACUAGUGUAGCGGGUAUUGACCCCUGCUGUGCCGCAGCUAACGCAUUAAGUGUUCCGCCUGGGGAGUACGGCCGCAAGGCUAAAACUCAAAGGAAUUGACGG
rnacentral:rRNA from 1 species